UCGAACGAAGUAGCAAUACUUAGUGGCAGACGGGUGAGUAACAUGUAGGUAUCUACCCUUUGGCCUGGAAUAACACGAGGAAACUUGUGCUAAUACCGGAUAAGUCUUUACGGAGAAAGCUUUAUGCACCAUUGGAUGAGCCUGCAUUUGAUUAGUUUGUUGGUAGGGUAAUGGCCUACCAAGACUUUGAUCAAUAGCUGAUUUGAGAGGAUGAUCAGCCACAUUGGGACUGAGACACGGCCCAAACUCCUACGGGAGGCAGCAGUGGGGAAUCUUGCACAAUGGAGGAAACUCUGAUGCAGCGAUGCCGCGUGAGUGAAGAAGGCCUUUGGGUUGUAAAGCUCUUUCGUCGGGGAAGAAAAUGACUGUACCCGAAUAAGA
rnacentral:rRNA from 1 species